AUUGAACGCUGGCGGCAGGCCUAACACAUGCAAGUCGAACGAGUGGCGGACGGGUGAGUAAUGUCUGGAAAACUGCCUGCUGGAGGGGGAUAACUACUGGAAACGGUAGCUUAUACCGCAUACCAUACGAUGUUCCCAGAUGGGAUUAGCUAGUUGGUGGGGUAACGGCUCACCAAGGCGACGAUCCCUAGCUGGUCUGAGAGGAUGACCAGCCACCCUGUAACUGAGGCACGGUCCAGACUCCUACGAGAGGCAGCAGUGGGGAAUAGUGCACAAUGUGCGCAAGCCUGAUGCAGCCAUGCCGCGUGUAUGAAGAAGGCCUUCGGGUUGUAAAGUACUUUCAGUGGGGAGGCGUUACCCGCAGAAGAAGCAACGGCUAACUCCGUGCCAGCCGCCGCGGUAAUUC
rnacentral:rRNA from 1 species